rnacentral:rRNA from 1 species
UAGGGAAUCUUCGGCAAUGGGGGGAACCCUGACCGAGCAACGCCGCGUGAGUGAAGAAGGUUUUCGGAUCGUAAAGCUCUGUUGUUAAGGAAGAACGAGUGUGAGAAUGGAAAGUUCAUACUGUGACGGUACUUAACCAGAAAGGGACGGCUAACUACGUGCCAGCAGCUGCGGUAAUACGUAGGUCCCGAGCGUUGUCCGGAUUUAUUGGGCGUAAAGCGAGCGCAGGCGGUUAGAUAAGUCUGAAGUUAAAGGCAGUGGCUCAACCAUUGUAGGCUUUGGAAACUGUUUAACUUGAGUGCAGAAGGGGAGAGUGGAAUUCCAUGUGUAGCGGUGAAAUGCGUAGAUAUAUGGAGGAACACCGGUGGCGAAAGCGGCUCUCUGGUCUGUAACUGACGCUGAGGCUCGAAAGCGUGGGGAGCGAACAGG